CGGGGUUGUGACGUCAUUGGGCACGUCUAUGACGUCACGGUGACGUCACGGCCCCGCCCCAGGCCCGCUGUUCAAUUUCGAUGUGCACGAGGACGUUCGGCUGCUCAGCGACGCCACCGUGGAGAAGGACGAGUCGCACGCUGGGAAGGUCGUGCUGCGCUCGUGGUACGAGAAGAACAAACACAUCUUCCCUGCCAGCCGCUGGGAGCCCUUCGACCCCGAGAAACGCUGGGACAAGUACACGGUGAGGGACCCAAAAUGGCCUGAAAUCACCCCAAAAAUAUCCCAAAAAUAUCCUUAAAUUAUCCUUAAAAUGUCCCUAAAUUAUCCCUGAAAUAUCCCAAAAAAUAACCCCAAAAUGUCCCUUCGAUCCCGAGAAACGCUGGGACAAGUACACGGUGAGGGCCCCAAAACCACCUCAAUUCACCCCAAAAAUAAUCCCAAAAUAUCCCUGAAAUAUCCUAAAAUUAUCUCUAAAAUAUCCCAAAAAUAUCCACAAAAUGAUCCCAAAAAUUGCUCUGAAAUGUGCCCAAAAAAUCCCCUUCGACCCCGAGAAACGCUGGGACAAGUACACGGUGAGGGACACAAAACCACCUCAAUUCACCCCAAAAAUAAUCCCAAAAUAUCCCUGAAAUAUCCUUAAAUUAUCUCUAAAAUAUCCCAAAAAUAUCCAAAAAAUAAUCCCAUAAAUAGCUCUGAAAUGUGCCCAAAAAAUCCCCUUGGACCCCGAGAAACGCUGGGACAAGUACACGGUGAGGGACCCAAAACGGCCCCAAAUCACCCCAAAAAUAUCCCCAAAUAUUCUCCAAAAUAUCCC